rnacentral:lncRNA from 1 species
UGUGGGUGGGAUGAGAGAUACAGCGUGCUGCCAAGGAUGGCCCAUCUUAAUGAGAGUUGUGGGAGAGAACAAGAUAUUCGCAGAGCACCCACUAGGUGCCAGUAAAUGUAUGAGAAGUCCUGUGGAAUAAGACUGAAGUUGUCCUUGCCUUCAAGCAACUUGCAAUUGCCUAAGAACACAGUUUAAAACCACAAAACUAAGCCUUGGAAAUCACAUGCUGUCAUUUCUGCGAUCGGUCAUAACCAGUCCUGAUUCCAUGUUAGAGGAGACUACAUAAGGACACAGGUACCAGAAGAUGAAAAAUUUGGAGUCUAGUGAAAAGAAGUGACUUGCUCAAAAUCACACAGCACAUGAAGAACAGAGCCUCUAUGAUGAAUUUCUUGACAGCUGAUAUAAGUCUUUUGAGGUACAGCCUGGCACAAAAAGGAUGAGAUUUGUGGGCAGAAUUUUGGAAGAAUAUCUCCCGAGAGAACAUUCAGGACAGAUUGCACUGCUUUGGAGAGCUGGUGAUGAAAUCCGGCCAUUGAAUUACACUGCACUAUAAACUUCAUUUGUUCUUGGGUGCAUAGUGAUUUGCUAUAAUAAUGAUCAUCCAUUUGCCAGACAGCUGAGAUUUUUUAAAAGCUUGAUUGCUUUUGGCAUGGCAUUAUUAGUCCUGGAAGAAGGCAGCACAUUUGUAGCAAUUCUCAGCUUGAGCAAACUAGAAUAUUCACCUCCCACAAAUGCUGGCCAUUUAAGAUCUGUGUGUUAGACUUUGGCAUUUUUUCUAGCAAUUCUACAACAGCAUACACACUUUUAUUUUUCAUUAACACCAUUGUGAAUAUGCCCAUCUCUAAAAUUUCAAGGGGGUUCACUUAAGCUACUGAGUUUUAUGGACAGAAGGGCCAAGAAAAGUCCCCAAAGAAGAGUGCAUGCUGUCAAUUGCCAAUUAUUUUUUUUUCUAAUGAAAGCCAAACAAUUCCAGACAAACCCUUUUCUAAGAAAUGAACUACAUAUCUGGAUCCAAAUAAAUACUCAUCUGAUAAGAAUCUAAAAGCUCUACUGAAUUACAGUGGAUGAGAACAUGAUGAUGGUGAUUCUUUGAAGAUUACUGAGGAAAUCAACUCUCAUGUCUGAUUCUGAUACUUUUAUAGUCCAUCCAUGUUGAAAAUGUCUAUGGAAUGAUUCUGUUGUACCUUGAGAAAUGAAAUUCAUAGGCAUGGAUUCUCUCACACAGCAACUUUAUACACAAAGAUGAGAAUAGAAGAAAGGUCAUUUCCAAAGAAAGUGACAUUUAUUCUGUAUUCACUGAAAAGCCAAAAGAAUUUUCUCAUUCACCCAUACCGACAGAGCCCUACAUCUCCCCGAGAAGAGGUGAAAGAGACUGCUCCUAUCUGCUUCUGCAUCAAACUUCAGGCUCAAGACCUGUCCAGAAAAAAAAAUGUCUUCUUUCAGGGAUGAACUGCUGUCCUCAUCAGACGCCUUAUUUUGUUUAGAAUUCAAGCUCACUUGACAGGUUAUUGUGAAGAUUAAAUGAAUUAAUACAUGUGAAGCAACUGUAACAACUCUUGACAUGCGUGGGCUGGACUUCCAGAAGAAACGUUGUCAGAACUCUGCCCAACUGAAAACAAGCCUACUAAAAAUAAAUAAAUAAAUAAAAUUUUAAAAAAUUGAUUAAUUAAAAGUAUUUUCUUGAGCACCUCCCAUGUAUUAACAAUCUCUGCAUUCACCAUUACCACCUAGUACUCUAACAAUUUUUGCAACAUAAAGGAAGUGACUGGGCUCAAAGUCUUUCCUUAUGUGACCUAGAUCAGUGCUUCUCUAAGUGUUGUAUACCUAAGAAGCACAAGAAGAGCCUGGUGAAACAAUUUCCUGGGACUCAUCUCCAGAGACUGAUUCAGUAGGUUUGAGGUAGAG